UACGUAGGGUGCAAGCGUUGUCCGGAAUUAUUGGGCGUAAAGAGCUCGUAGGCGGUUUGUUGCGUCGGCUGUGAAAUCCCGAGGCUCAACCUCGGGUCUGCAGUCGAUACGAGCAAACUAGAGUGUUGCAGGGGAGACUGGAAUUCCUGGUGUAGCGGUGAAAUGCGCAGAUAUCAGGAGGAACACCGGUGGCGAAGGCGGCUACCUGGACCGGUUCUGACGCUGAGGCGCGAAAGCGUGGGUAGCAAACAGG
rnacentral:rRNA from 1 species